rnacentral:lncRNA from 1 species
AAGGGAGCAGCACCGAGCUCGCCUCCACACCCCCAACAGCUGUCUCCUUUCUAGGAUAAGCACAAUCAGACGGGGUUGCCAGGAAAGAGAACUGCAGGCCAGAUGUAUGCCUGGCUGCCUUCGCCACUCGGAGGCAGGGAGCGUGGGGGAGGGGCCGCCAGUGCGGCAGUUCAGACUCCAGAUGCUGCCAGGCAGGGUGCCAGGCCAGCCUUUUAGAGGCAAUAAUCCGAACAGUUUAAAGGAGUAGAGUCAUUUUCAAAAAGGAAAAGAGCGCUCUUCCUGGGCAAGUCAUUCAUCAAAGACGCCUUGAAAUGUAAGGCCCACGCUCUGCGGCACAGGUUCGGCUGCAUAAGCCGGAAGUGCCCGGCCAUCAGGGAAAUGGUGUCCCAGUUGCAGCGGGAAUGCUACCUCAAGCACGACCUGUGCGCGGCUGCCCAGGAGAACACCCGGGUGAUAGUGGAGAUGAUCCAUUUCAAGGACUUGCUGCUGCACGAACCCUACGUGGACCUCGUGAACUUGCUGCUGACCUGUGGGGAGGAGGUGAAGGAGGCCAUCACCCACAGCGU